ACCAGACUCCUACGGGAGGCAGCAGUGAGGCCUCUUGGUCAAUGGGCGGCCUCCUGAACCAGCCCUGCCGCGUGCCGGCCGACGGCUCUACGAGUUGUAACCUUCUUUUGUACCGGGGUACAAUGCCUUCCGCGUAGGGUUUUGAAAGUACGGUACGAAUAAGGAUCGGCUAACUCCGUGCCAGCAGCCGCGGUAAUACGGAGGAUCCGAGCGUUAUCCGGAUUCAUUGGGUUUAAAGGGUGCGUAGGUUGUUUUAUAAGUUAGCGGUGAAAUACCGAUGCUCAACAGCGGGGCUGCCGCUAAUACUGUAGGACUAGAGAUCGGAUGCAGCAGGCGGAAUGUGUAGUGUAGCGGUGAAAUGCAUAGAUAUUACACAGAACACCGAUUGCGAAGGCAGCUUGCUAGGCCGGAUCUGACACUGAUGCACGAAAGCGUGGGGAUCGAACAGGAUUAGAUACCCUCGUA
rnacentral:rRNA from 1 species